AUUGAACGCUGGCGGCAUGCUUUACACAUGCAAGUCGAACGGUAACAGGCCGCAAGGUGCUGACGAGUGGCGAACGGGUGAGUAAUGCAUCGGAACGUGCCCAGUCGUGGGGGAUAACGCAGCGAAAGCUGCGCUAAUACCGCAUACGAUCUCUGGAUGAAAGCGGGGGACCGAAAGGCCUCGCGCGAUUGGAGCGGCCGAUGUCAGAUUAGGUAGUUGGUGGGGUAAAGGCCCACCAAGCCAACGAUCUGUAGCUGGUCUGAGAGGACGACCAGCCACACUGGGACUGAGACACGGCCCAGAAUCCUACGGGAGGCAGCAGUGGGGAAUUUUGGACAAUGGGCGCAAGCCUGAUCCAGCAAUGCCGCGUGCAGGAAGAAGGCCUUCGGGUUGUAAACUGCUUUUGUACGGAACGAAACGGUCCGGGUUAAUACCCUGGGCUAAUGACGGUACCGUAAGAAUAAGCACCGGCUAACUACGUGCCAGCCGCCGGGGUAAUAC
rnacentral:rRNA from 1 species